rnacentral:rRNA from 1 species
AUUGAACGCUGGCGGCAGGCUUAACACAUGCAAGUCGAGCGGAGAGAGGUAGCUUGCUACUGAUCUUAGCGGCGGACGGGUGAGUAAUGCUUAGGAAUCUGCCUAUUAGUGGGGGACAACAUUUCGAAAGGAAUGCUAAUACCGCAUACGUCCUACGGGAGAAAGCAGGGGAUCUUCGGACCUUGCGCUAAUAGAUGAGCCCAAGUCGGAUUAGCUAGUUGGUGGGGUAAAGGCCUACCAAGGCGACGAUCUGUAGCGGGUCUGAGAGGAUGAUCCGCCACACUGGGACUGAGACACGGCCCAGACUCCUACGGGAGGCAGCAGUGGGGAAUAUUGGACAAUGGGCGGAAGCCUGAUCCAGCCAUGCCGCGUGUGUGAAGAAGGCCUUAUGGUUGUAAAGCACUUUAAGCGAGGAGGAGGCUACUUUAGUUAAUACCUAGAGAUAGUGGACGUUACUCGCAGAAGAAGCACCGGCUAACUCUGUGCCAGCCGCCGCGGUAAUAC